rnacentral:rRNA from 1 species
CCUACGGGAGGCAACAGUGAGGAAUAUUGGUCAAUGGGAGAGAUCCUGAACCAGCCAAGCCGCGUGAGGGAAGACGGCCCUAUGGGUUGUAAACCUCUUUUGUCGGAGAACAAAACCCGGGACGUGUCCCGGACUGCGUGUAUCCGAAGAAAAAGCAUCGGCUAACUCCGUGCCAGCAGCCGCGGUAAUACGGAGGAUGCGAGCGUUAUCCGGAUUUAUUGGGUUUAAAGGGUGCGUAGGCGGUCCGUUAAGUCAGCGGGAAAAUUGCGGGGCUCAACCCCGGCGAGCCGUUGAAACUGGCAGACUUGAGUUGGCGAGAAGUACGCGGAAUGCGCGGUGUAGCGGUGAAAUGCAUAGAUAUCGCGCAGAACUCCGAUUGCGAAGGCAGCGUACCGGCGCCAGACUGACGCUGAGGCACGAAAGCGUGGGGAUCGAACAGGAUUAGAUACCCUUGUAGUC